UACGGAGGGUGCAAGCGUUAUCCGGAUUUACUGGGCGUAAAGGGUGCGUAGGCGGCCCUGUAAGUAUGGUGUGAAAUCUCCCGGCUUAACUGGGAGGGUGCGCUAUAGACUGCGGGGCUCGAGUGUGGGAGAGGAAAGUGGAAUUCCUGGUGUAGCGGUGAAAUGCGUAGAUAUCAGGAGGAACACCGGUGGUGUAAACGGCUUUCUGGACCAUAACUGACGCUGAGGCACGAAAGCGUGGGUAGCAAACAGG
rnacentral:rRNA from 1 species